rnacentral:rRNA from 1 species
UACGUAGGGUGCGAGCGUUGUCCGGAAUUAUUGGGCGUAAAGAGCUCGUAGGCGGCUUGUCGCGUCGACUGUGAAAACCCGCGGCUCAACCGUGUGGUCUGCAGUCGAUACGGGCAGGCUAGAGUUCGGUAGGGGAGACUGGAAUUCCUGGUGUAGCGGUGAAAUGCGCAGAUAUCAGGAGGAACACCGGUGGCGAAGGCGGCAUCCUGGACCGGCAUUGACGCUGAGGCGCGAAAGCUAGGGUAGCAAACGGG